UCAGGCCCAGCUGGAGACCUUAAGAGGACAAAGUUUUGCCUCCCGUACAGGUACAAAGACUACGGUUAGGUCUUCUCCAGCCUAAGUAGCAGUGCCUGGAACCCAGUCGGUCAUCAGCAAGGGCGUUUGUCGGAGAAUGAAAGCAUCUGUGAGAAACAAACCAUGUUAACCUUCCUGGGACGACCACAUUUUAUCUUAUAAUGUCCAGUUAUUUCUCCUCCUUUCUUUCUGUUUGUUUUUCCUUCGUCACUUACUUGGCCCUUCACAUGCAAUUUUUCAUUUAAUUCUCACAGGUCUGUUGGGGGUAGAUAUUGGUGUCUGCCUCUACUGGAUGAGAAAACUGACCUUCAAACAGCUGAAGUGCAUUGUCCAAGGUCACGCAGCCAGGAUGCAGUCGAGUGAGAAAUCUAAGCUGGGUUUUUUCUGACUUUAGAUUCCAUGGACUUUUGCAGCGUGUCGUAGUCUGAUUGUCUGCCAUAGCGUGUGUGUACAUCUGCGCACAAACACUACACAUAAAUUGGCAACACCUGCCACUCCCCUUCUGUUUUGUAAACAUGAUCACUGACUGUGAAAGGGUCAGACAAUGCAAUGCUGCUUCUCAAAUUUGAUUGGCUAUUGGAAUCGCCUGGCCCUCAUCUCAGUGGUUUUGACUUCACUGCUCUAGAGAGGGAUGAGCAUUCAGGUUUUUAAUAUGCUGUCUAAGUUGGGAAUCCCUGCAAUA